UGGGUACUAAUUCAUCAUCAUUAUCAUCCUCAGAUGGUCGCAGCUUAUGGUCAUUAUGCCGUUCUUGUAGCAUAAU
rnacentral:sRNA from 1 species